rnacentral:rRNA from 1 species
CUUCCGGCGGGGCUGUAAACCUAAACAAAACAAAAAAAAGAAAAUUUUCAACGGUGGAUAUCUAGGUUCUCGUACCGAGGAAGAACGCAGCGAACUGCGAUAAGCAAUGCGAAUUGCAGAAUGCGAGUCAUUUGAUUUUCGAACGCAAUCGGCGACUGGAAGUAAAAUUCUAGUCAUGUGUGUCUCAGUGUCAACAAUAUUUCCAACCUUAAUGUGACUGAAUUUCGAUUCUUUCAUCAAAAAGGAGAGAUCUGCGUCUCUGCCCGACGAAGUAGUCACCCACUCCGGUGGAUGAUCUCGGCGGAACGAGAUGAGAGAGCUCAGAGCAAAACUCUUUAAAAAUCUGAUCUGAGAUAGGCAAGAUAACCCGCCCAACUUAAGCAUAUUAUUA